UGGGGAAUAUUGCACAAUGGGCGCAAGCCUGAUGCAGCAACGCCGCGUGAGGGACGACGGCCUUCGGGUUGUAAACCUCUUUUGGCAGGGAAGAAGCGAAAGUGACGGUACCUGCAGAAAAAGCACCGGCUAACUACGUGCCAGCAGCCGCGGUGAUACGUAGGGUGCAAGCGUUGUCCGGACUUAUUGGGCGUAAAGAGCUCGUAGGCGGUUUGUCGCGUCUGCUGUGAAAACCCGGGGCUCAACCUCGGGCCUGCAGUGGGUACAGGGAAGCUAGAGUGCGGUAGGGGAGAUUGGAAUCCCGGGUGGAGCGGUGGAAUGGGCAGAUAUCAGGAGGGACACCGAUGGCGAAGGCAGAUCUCUGGGCCGUAACUGACGCUGAGGAGCGAAAGCAUGGGGAGCGAACA
rnacentral:rRNA from 1 species